AUGUCUUUUAGGGGACGAGGAUUGUCCCCAAAUUCCGAUUUUCGACUCUUUGGGAUGCUCGGUCAAAGGCUGCCAUCAGGAGGCUUGUUCUGGAGGCUGCCACAAACUCUUUUGCCCAGGGCAAAAGCAGGAAAGGGAGCCUGGUGGACCGAGGGGAAAAGCCAGCAGCCUCCAACCACCAGAGGUGCCUGGAGUAGCCCCCCCUCCCUUAAAAGAAUAAUGGGACUUAAGCCAUGGGGCUUGGUUUCUCUCUUGGAAGAACUACCCCCUCUUCUGUCCGUGGACACCAAAUGCCAGGACUCCAGGCCCCAACCUCUCCCCCCCCCUCCUUUGCCCUCAUUCUCGCCGUGCAUGAACUACGUGUGGCUGCUUGUGAAACUUCCUACCUCCUGCCCCUGCCCACUUCCUAACCUUUCAGCUGCCCACCUUCCCCGGGCCUUGCCUGGGGUGUUCAGAGCGACCCAGUCCUGGGGGAGAACCCCCAUUGGCCAUGGCAGGCCCCAGGGCUCCCCGGCCGGGGAAUCCCACAGCCACCCGCCAGGCCCCGAAGCUUCCUUUCGCCUAGCUGGAGAAUUGCCAGAGCUCCCAGGCUGGCCAGUCGCCCCUCCAGGGCCACGGACUCUAAUCCAGCCCCCCCCCCGAGGUUCCAGGAGGCAGAGGCGGGGGGGCACCCAACCUCCAGCCAUCUUCCUUGGCUUCUGCUUUUGCUGGCAGAGCAGGCGAUGGAGCCAUGGUCCAGAAGGCAGAGGUCAAGAGGUCUCGCUGGGUCAGGCGCCGGGUGGGUCCAGGCCAGCUAGCCAUUCCCUUCAAGAAAUGGCCAGAGGAGAGGAGGGGGCAGGAUCCCAGAGCCUGAAGAGGGAGGGUUGGGUGUGGUGUGGAGGGGAGGGGAGAAAUGUGCAAGAGGGAGGGAGGGAGGAAAGAGCCCCCCCCAGGGCUGCCUGGAGCAGGCCACCCCCGCCCCGCCUCCUCACAGGGCCACCCUAUGCCCAAAGCAAAGCCUUUCCUGCAACCACAGUUCAAGAGGGCGGCCUGGGCCACCAGGCAGGCUUCCCGCCGGAGCUGGCCCGCUCCUCUUCCUCCGGCUCCCAACGUGCGAUGGAAGGGGCAGAGGGUCGCCCUAGGACACUCAAGGCGUGGGAAGGGCCGCUUCAGGACACGCUGUUUAUUUGGACACGUUAG
rnacentral:lncRNA from 1 species